CACCGCGCCGAAAUUUAAAUUUUUGGUGGGUUACACGCAGCCAUGUUGAUGUUGUACAGAAGGAAAGUUCGGAAGAGAGUGUCGCGAAAAGGAGAAUCAUGACUAGCUUUGGAUGGAAUUUCUGUUUUGACAGAGAUGAAGACAUUUUACGACCCGGUACUGCGUUGCAUGCAGUGGACUGUGCCUGAGACGAUUCCCAUAGCGCCGGCGAAUAGUCAGCUUGUAUAAAUGGAAUCUGAAUGCUCACAAGAAGGACAAAUGCAGUAUGGAAAUUAACACAAAGAAAUUGUGCCAGAAAAGUAAGUGUCUACGGGAACAAUCAACAUCGAACUUUCUGAGCCUUCCUACUUAAACUAAAGUGAAUUCAUUUGUGAAUUUCAUGGGAUAUCAGUGAGGAAGUGAUUCAAGCAGACACUUGAGAAAUUUCGGAUCUAACUUAUAAAUUAGGAUCUUUGGCAUAUUCGG